GGCAGGAUAGCUCAGUUGGUAGAGUAUGAGACUCUUAAUCUCAGGGUCAUGGGUGAAAGAUUCCUUCAUUGUGGGGGGAGUUG